rnacentral:rRNA from 1 species
GACGAACGCUGGCGGUGUGCUUAACACAUGCAAGUCGAACGGAAAGGCCUCUUUCGGGGGGUACUCGAGUGGCGAACGGGUGAGUAACACGUGAGUAACCUGCCCUUGACUUUGGGAUAACUUCAGGAAACUGGGGCUAAUACCGGAUAGGAGCUCCUGCUGCAUGGUGGGGGUUGGAAAGUUUCGGCGGUUGGGGAUGGACUCGCGGCUUAUCAGCUUGUUGGUGGGGUAGUGGCUUACCAAGGCUUUGACGGGUAGCCGGCCUGAGAGGGUGACCGGCCACAUUGGGACUGAGAUACGGCCCAGACUCCUACGGGAGGCAGCAGUGGGGAAUAUUGCACAAUGGGUGGAAGCCUGAUGCAGCAACGCCGUGUGCGGGAGGACGGCCUUCGGGUUGUAAACCGCUUUCGCUCAUGACGAAGCUUUGUGUGACGGUAGUGGGUAAAGAAGCACCGGCUAACUACGUG